rnacentral:rRNA from 1 species
UACGUAGGGGGCAAGCGUUGUCCGGAUUUAUUGGGCGUAAAGAGCGUGUAGGCGGUCAGGUAGGUCGGUUGUGAAAACUGGAGGCUCAACCUCGAGACGUCGGUUGAAACCACCUGGCUAGAGUCCGGAAGAGGAGAGUGGAAUUCCCGGUGUAGCGGUGAAAUGUGCAGAUAUCGGGAAGAACACCCGUGGCGAAGGCGGCUCUCUGGGACGGUACUGACGCUGAGACGCGAAAGCGUGGGGAGCGAACAGG